GACAACGUGGCCGAGCGGUUAAGGCGAUUGACUAGAAUCUGCCAAUUCUAAGACAUCUGUCUAUCAUCAAUUGGGAUUUUCCCGCGUAGGUUCAAAUCCUGCCGUUGUCG
rnacentral:tRNA from 1 species